rnacentral:tRNA from 1 species
UCCCUGGCAGUCCAGUGGUAAGAGUCUACGCUCCCGAUGCAGGGGGCCCGGGUUCAAUCCCCGGUCAGGGAA